GAUGAACGCUGGCGGCGUGCCUAAUACAUGCAAGUCGAGCGAACAGAUGAGGAGCUUGCUCCUCUGACGUUAGCGGCGGACGGGUGAGUAACACGUGGAUAACCUACCUAUAAGACUGGGAUAACUUCGGGAAACCGGAGCUAAUACCGGAUAAUAUAUUGAACCGCAUGGUUCAAUAGUGAAAGACGGUUUUGCUGUCACUUAUAGAUGGAUCCGCGCCGCAUUAGCUAGUUGGUAAGGUAACGGCUUACCAAGGCAACGAUGCGUAGCCGACCUGAGAGGGUGAUCGGCCACACUGGAAGUGAGACACGGUCCAGACUCCUACGGGAGGCAGCAGUAGGGAAUCUUCCGCAAUGGGCGAAAGCCUGACGGAGCAACGCCGCGUGAGUGAUGAAGGUCUUCGGAUCGUAAAGCUCUGUUAUUAGGGAAGAACAAAUGUGUAAGUAACUAUGCACGUCUUGACGGUACCUAAUCAGAAAGCCACGGCUAACUACGUG
rnacentral:rRNA from 1 species